UACGGAGGGUGCGAGCGUUGUCCGGAAUCAUUGGGCGUAAAGAGCGCGUAGGCGGCCAGAUAAGUCCGGUGUGAAAGUCAAAGGCUCAACCUUUGAAUGCCGCUGGAAACUGUCUGGCUAGAGUCCGGGAGGGGCGAGUGGAAUUCCUGGUGGUAGCGGUGAAAUGCGCAGAUAUCAGGAGGAACACCGGUGGCGAAGGCGGGUCUCUGGGCCGAUACUGACGCUGAGGAGCGAAAGCGUGGGGGAGCGAACAGG
rnacentral:rRNA from 1 species